GAUGAACGCUGGCGGCGUGCUUAACACAUGCAAGUCGAACGGAAAGGCCUCUGCUUGCAGGGGUACUCGAGUGGCGAACGGGUGAGUAACACGUGGGUGAUCUGCCCUGCACUUCGGGAUAAGCCUGGGAAACUGGGUCUAAUACCGGAUAGGACAAUGGUUUGGAUGCUGUUGUGGAAAGUUUUUCGAUGUGGGAUGAGCUCGCGGCCUAUCAGCUUGUUGGUGGGGUAAUGGCCUACCAAGGCGUCGACGGGUAGCCGGCCUGAGAGGGUGUACGGCCACAUUGGGACUGAGAUACGGCCCAGACUCCUACGGGAGGCAGCAGUGGGGAAUAUUGCACAAUGGGCGCAAGCCUGAUGCAGCGACGCCGCGUGGGGGAUGACGGCCUUCGGGUUGUAAACUCCUUUCGCUAGGGACGAAGCGUUUUUGUGACGGUACCUGGAGAAGAAGCACCGGCUAACUACGUG
rnacentral:rRNA from 1 species